rnacentral:rRNA from 1 species
GAUGAACGCUAGCUACAGGCUUAACACAUGCAAGUCGAGGGGAAACGACAUCGAAAGCUUGCUUUUGGUGGGCGUCGACCGGCGACACGGGUGAGUAACGCGUAUCCAACCUGCCCACCACUUGGGGAUAACCUUGCGAAAGUAAGACUAAUACCCCAAUGAUAUCCCACGAAGGCAUCCGAAUGGGAUUUAAAGAUUUAUCGGUGAUGGAUGGGGAUGCGUCUGAUUAGCUUGUUGGCGGGGUAACGGCCCACCAAGGCAACGAUCAGUAGGGGUUCUGAGAGGAAGGUCCCCCACAUUGGAACUGAGACACGGUCCAAACUCCUACGGGAGGCAGCAGUGAGGAAUAUUGGUCAAUGGGCGAGAGCCUGAACCAGCCAAGUAGCGUGCAGGAUGACGGCCCUAUGGGUUGUAAACUGCUUUUAUAAGGGAAUAAAGUGGGUCACGUGUGACUUUUUGCAUGUACCUUAUGAAUAAGGACCGGCUAAUUCCGUG